UACAGAGGUCUCAAGCGUUGUUCGGAUUCAUUGGGCGUAAAGGGUGUGUAGGCGGCCUGGUAGGUCUGCUGUGAAAACUCGAGGCUCAACCUCGAGAUGUCGGCGGAAACCAUCUGGCUAGAGUCCGGAAGAGGAGAGUGGAAUUCCUGGUGUAGCGGUGAAAUGCGCAGAUAUCAGGAAGAACACCUAUGGCGAAGGCAGCUCUCUGGGACGGUACUGACGCUGAGGUGCGAAAGCGUGGGGAGCAAACAGG
rnacentral:rRNA from 1 species